rnacentral:rRNA from 1 species
GACGUAGGGCGCGAGCGUUGUCCGGAUUUAUUGGGCGUAAAGAGCUCGUAGGCGGCUUGUUGCGUCAGCUGUGAAAACCCGCAGCUCAACUGUGGGCUUGCAGCUGAUACGGGCAGGCUUGAGUUCGGUAGGGGAGACUGGAAUUCCCGGUGUAGCGGUGAAAUGUGUAGAGAUCGGGAGGAACACCGGUGGCGAAGGCGGGUCUCUGGGCAUUUCCUGACGCUGAGGCGCGAAAGCGUGGGGAGCAAACGGG